AAGAGUCAUUGGUGUCUGGCUGAGAGCGGAAAACCUUUCUGUUGUUCUCAUCAUUGCUCCUGAGCUAAAUCAGGCAACAGUAUUUUCAGUUGUCUUUUAGCACCUUCUCAUCACUAGAUCUACUAGAUCGUCUGAGGGAUUUGACUGAAUCAAGAUGUUGCUGAUCAUUGAAGCUCUUCUUCUCAUUUUAGCUGCUCUAGGACAGGAUCACACAGCUGCUGCUGAAGUUCAAUUGGAUAUGGCACCGAAUUCAGUUGAUGAUCAAUAUAAAGAUUGUAAAAAGGAAAUGGCGAAACUGGUGGAGAGAAAAUAUCUGAAAAGGGAACUAAAUAACUCAAU